UCAGGGAGGCGGGGAUUUCCAUUUGAAGCAGUGAAAUCAAUAGCCACCAUGAAGUUAAGCUCACAUCCUCCUUUCAAGUAAUCCAAAAAAGUAUAUUGAACGCUUUCAGAAAACUUAUCCACAAAUAGCUGGCUCUUUAAUACCUUGUGAUCAUGCCCAACAGCAGCGGGUGAAAAUAAAUUUUCACCUGCCCCACUAGAACGUAGCUUUUCCAAGUCUGCUAGGGAUUUUCGAACUUCUCCAAUCAAAUCAUGCUUGCCGCUACUGUUGAAGUUGUAGCACUCUAUCACCAGUGGACUAUCCUUGCUUCCAACUUGUUGAAUAUU
rnacentral:misc_RNA from 1 species